rnacentral:rRNA from 1 species
UUAGCAUGCUAGUCGUACGAGUUCAUACUCGUGGCGAAUAGCUCAGUAACACGUGGCCAAACUACCCUUCGGAGCUCGAUACCCUCGGGAAACUGAGGCUAAUAGAGCAUCCCACACUCCACCUGGAACGAGGAGUGUGCCAAACGCUCCGGCGCCGAAGGAUGUGGCUGCGGCCGAUUAGGUAGACGGUGGGGUAACGGCCCACCGUGCCAAUAAUCGGUACGGGUCAUGAGAGUGAGAACCCGGAGACGGAAUCUGAGACAAGAUUCCGGGCCCUACGGGGCGCAGCAGGCGCGAAACCUUUACACUGCACGCCAGUGCGAUAGGGGGAUCCCAAGUGCACAGGCAUAGUGCCUGUGCUUUUCGACACCCUAAGGCGGUGUCAGAAUAAGGGCUGGGCAAGACCGGUGCCAGCCGCCGCGGUAAUACCGGCAGCCCAAGUGAUGGCCGAUCUUAUUGGGCCUAAAGCGUCCGUAGCUGGCCGCGCAAGUCCAUCGGGAAAUCCGCCCGCUCAACGGGCGGACGCCCGGUGGAAACUGCGUGGCUUGGGACCGGAAGGCGCGACGGGUACGUCCGGGGUAGGAGUGAAAUCCCGUAAUCCUGGACGGACCGCCGAUGGCGAAAGCACGUCGCGAGAACGGAUCCGACAGUGAGGGACGAAAGCCAGGGUCUCGAACCGGAUUAGAUACCCGGGUAGUCCUGGCCGUAAACAAUGUCUGCUAGGUGUGGCUCCCGCUACGAGCGGGUGCUGUGCCGCAGGGAAGCCGCUAAGCAGACCGCCUGGGAAGUACGUCCGCAAGGAUGAAACUUAAAGGAAUUGGCGGGGGAGCACUACAACCGGAGGAGCCUGCGGUUUAAUUGGACUCAACGCCGGACAUCUCACCAGCAUCGACUGUAGUAAUGACGAUCAGGUUGAUGACCUUAUCCGAGCUACAGAGAGGAGGUGCAUGGCCGCCGUCAGCUCGUACCGUGAGGCGUCCUGUUAAGUCAGGCAACGAGCGAGACCCGCACCCUUACUUGCCAGCAGUAUCGCGAGAUAGCUGGGGACAGUAGGGGGACCGCCGUGGCUAACACGGAGGAAGGAACGGGCAACGGUAGGUCAGUAUGCCCCGAAUGUGCUGGGCAACACGCGGGCUACAAUGGUCAGGACAAAGGGUUCCAACUCCGAAAGGAGACGGUAAUCUCAGAAACCUGAUCGUAGUUCGGAUUGUGGGCUGCAACUCGCCCACAUGAAGCUGGAUUCGGUAGUAAUCGCGUUCAC